rnacentral:rRNA from 1 species
GAAUAUUGGACAAUGGGCGCAAGCCUGAUCCAGCCAUGCCGCGUGAGUGAUGAAGGCCCUAGGGUUGUAAAGCUCUUUCACCGGAGAAGAUAAUGACGGUAUCCGGAGAAGAAGCCCCGGCUAACUUCGUGCCAGCAGCCGCGGUAAUACGAAGGGGGCUAGCGUUGUUCGGAUUUACUGGGCGUAAAGCGCACGUAGGCGGAUUGGUCAGUUAGGGGUGAAAUCCCGGAGCUCAACUCCGGAACUGCCUUUAAUACUGCCAAUCUAGAGACCGAGAGAGGUGAGUGGAACUCCUAGUGUAGAGGUGGAAUUCGUAGAUAUUAGGAAGAACACCAGUGGCGAAGGCGGCUCACUGGCUCGGAACUGACGCUGAGGUGCGAAAGCGUGGGGAGCAAACAG